rnacentral:rRNA from 1 species
AACGAACGCUGGCGGCAGGCCUAACACAUGCAAGUCGAGCGCCCCGCAAGGGAGGCGGCGGACGGGUGAGUAACACGUGGGAAUUUCCUUCAAGGUACGGGAACAACUCAGGGAAACGUUGGGCUAAUACCGUAUGAUGCAGAGAUGCCAAAGAUUUAUCGCCUUGGGAUAAGCCCGCGUCAGAUUAGGUAGUUGGUGGGGUAAUGGCCUACCAAGCCUGUGAUCUGUAGCUGGUCUGAGAGGACGAUCAGCCACAUUGGGACUGAGACACGGCCCAAACUCCUACGGGAGGCAGCAGUGGGGAAUCUUGCGCAAUGGACGAAAGUCUGACGCAGCCAUGCCGCGUGGAGGAUGAAGGCCUCU